AGCAGCCGCGGUAAAUUCCAGCUCCAAUAGCGUAUAUUAAAGUUGUUGCAGUUAAAAAGCUCGUAGUUGAAUUUCGGGGUUCUAUCGUUGGUCGGGCUAUUGUCUGUACUGGCGUGUAGAAUUUCUACCUUCUGGGGAACUAUCAUGUUAUUAAUUUAGCGUGGUAGGAAACCAGGACCUUUACCUUGAAAAAAUUAGAGUGUUCAAAGCAGGCUUAUGUCUGAAUACAUUAGCAUGGAAUAAUAAAAUAGGACGGUGGUCCUGUUUUGUUGGUUUCUGAAUCACCGUAAUGAUUAAUAGGGAUAGUUGGGGGCAUUAGUAUUCAAUUGUCAGAGGUGAAAUUCUUGGAUUUAUUGAAGACUAACUACUGCGAAAGCAUUUGCCAAGGAUGUUUUCAUUA
rnacentral:rRNA from 1 species